UGGCCGUCAGCUUCUGACACACCUGCUCUCUUCGCUGGGUUCCGACACCACAGCUCACAGAACACUGCAAGGAGAAUUGUGCAACGGUUAGAUGGAGCGUGAGCCACGUGCCCGGCCAGCAACAGCCAAGUCUCAGAUGAAGGAAUACGUGAACAGAGCUAAUGCAUAUGGAUCAAACACCCUGGAUAAGACCCAACUAACUCUUCAGGACAAUGAUUGAUAGAAUGGAUCUUCAUCUAGAGAUCAGAUAUGUCCUAGCUCCACCAGACACCAAAUAUGAAGAUGAAGAUUUCAAAAAACCUUAAGAAGCUCAACCAAGGUUCUUAGGCUUUGUAAAAAAAGAGUCCAGAAUUUGGAACUUGCAUUUUCCUUCUAAGUACCAUCAAUAAACUGCAACUGCCUUAUCAGUAA